CCCUUAGAUGUUCUGGGCUGCACGCGCGCUACACUGAUGCGCUCAACGAGUUUACGACCUUGCCCGGAAGGGUUGGGUAAUCUUUUUAAAACGCAUCGUGAUGGGGAUAGAUUAUUGCAAUUAUUAAUCUUUAACGAGGAAUUCCUAGUAAGCGCGAGUCAUCAGCUCGUGCUGAUUACGUCCCUGCCCUUUGUACACACCGCCCGUCGCUACUACCGAUUGAAUGGUUUAGUGAGGCCUUCGGAUCCGCGACUCGUUUUGUGGAGAAGUUGGACAAACUCAGUCAUUUAGAGGAAGUAAAAGUCGUAACA
rnacentral:rRNA from 1 species